CCUCCCUGCAGUGGGCAAAGAGAUGCCUUGCUGAUGGUGGUAUUGUUAAUCAGUCAGGGGCAGAGCAGGUGGCAGUCCUCUGUCCAUCCUAGCUUGAUGCCUAACUUGGUGGCCAAAGUUGUCUUAUGCCUAGGACUCAUGA